rnacentral:rRNA from 1 species
AGGGUUCGAUCAUGGCUCAGGAUAAACGCUAGCGGCAGGCCUUACACAUGCAAGUCGAGGGGUAAAAUAUCUUCGGAUAUUUGAGACCGGCGCACGGGUGCGUAACACGUAUGCAACCUGCCUUUUACUGGGGAAUAGCCCGAAGAAAUUCGGAUUAAUGCCCCAUAUGCUCGCACAAUCGCAUGAUUGAGCGAGGAAAGCUCCGGCGGUAAAAGAUGGGCAUGCGUCCUAUUAGCUUGUUGGUGAGGUAAUGGCUCACCAAGGCUACGAUAGGUAGGGGACCUGAGAGGGUGAACCCCCACACUGGUACUGAGACACGGACCAGACUCCUACGGGAGGCAGCAGUGAGGAAUAUUGGGCAAUGGAGGAAACUCUGACCCAGCCAUGCCGCGUGCAGGAAGACGGCCCUCUGGGUUGUAAACUGCUUUUAUAUGGGAAUAAACCCUUCCACGUGUGGAAGGCUGAAGGUACCAUAAGAAUAAGGAUCGGCUAACUCCGUGCCAGCCGCCGCG